AUUUUUAUUGAUUUGCAAUCUUUUUAUUUUCCGAACCUUUGUUAUAUGUCUUCCGCAUCCUGUAGAGGCAAACGAAGUUUUUUACAAUAAAUUUUUUUUUGUUGUUGAGAGAUUCCAUUCCACGUCACACAUGAAUGUAACAUGAAUGAAUAGUGAAUAGAAAGCGAGAAAACAGUGAGGAGCGUUGAUUCUUGGGUUUAUAUCUCGGAUCAAACACUUCUCCUAUCUCUAAGCUCUGGUCACGCGUUUACUGUGUUCACUCCCACUUCUACUAAAAAAAAACUAGUGGUGUGUUUGGAAUUGCAAAUAAUAAACCAGAAAGAAAUGUCUUUGACUCUGACUUUGAGUCUCAUCCCACAAGUACACCGGUGGACCUCAUCGCCAAUUCUCAAAUUCAAAUCCAAUUCACCACAUUCCUUCAAUUGUGCUUCUUCUUUGUCUUCCACUUCCUUUAAUCAACUCACUGUUGGUGAAGAUUUUCCGCUAAACUACGGUGAUUGGCUUCCCAAGCCCCAACUUCAUCUUCGCAGAAGAGCCGGUAUUCUACUCCAUCCGACGUCGUUUCAAGGCCCUUAUGGAAUCGGUGAUCUCGGAAACGAGGCUUUUCGUUUCAUUGAUUGGCUUCACCGAACCGGUUGCUCCCUUUGGCAGGUUCUUCCUCUGGUGCCUCCUGGCAGAAAGGCUAAUGAAGAGGGAUCCCCUUACUCAGGCCAGGAUGCGAAUUGUGGCAACACCCUUUUGAUUUCUCUUGAAGAGCUUGUUGAGGAUGGAUUGUUGGAAAAACAUGAGCUUCCUAAACCAAUUGAUGCAGAGCGAGUGAAUUUUUCUGCUGUUGCUGAUCUUAAGGAUCCUUUGAUAACUAAAGCUGCACAGAGGCUAAUUUCAAGCAAAGGGGAACUCAAAACACAGCUUGAGACUUUUCGUAGGGAUCCUAGCAUAUCAAGUUGGCUUGAAGAUGCAGCUUAUUUUGCUGCUAUUGACGACAGUUUAAACACACUCAGCUGGUACGAGUGGCCCGAGCCUUUAAAAAACCGCCAUCUUGUAGCUCUAGAAGAUAUUUACGAACAAAAGCAAGAUUUUAUAAAUGUAUUUAUUGCCCAACAAUUCUUGUUCCAAAAGCAAUGGCAGAAAGUUCGCAAUUAUGCGCAGAGUAGGGGAAUUAGGAUAAUGGGAGACAUGCCCAUUUAUGUUGGUUAUCAUAGUGCAGAUGUUUGGGCAAAUAAGAACCAGUUUGCACUGAACAGGAAAGGCUUUCCUAUUUUAGUAAGUGGUGUUCCUCCGGAUGCAUUCAGCGAAACUGGUCAGCUGUGGGGAAGCCCCCUGUAUGAUUGGAAAGCCAUGGAGCAAGAAGGAUACUCAUGGUGGAUACGCCGCCUACGGCGUGCACAGGAUUUAUAUGACGAAUUUAGGAUCGACCACUUUAGAGGAUUUGCUGGAUUUUGGGCUGUUCCCUCUGAAGCCAAAGUCGCUAUGGUUGGAAAGUGGAAGGUAGGACCUGGAAUUUCCUUCUUUGAUGCCAUUUUCGGAGCUAUUGGAAGGAUGGAUAUCACAGCAGAAGACUUAGGAGUUAUCACUGAGGAUGUAGUGCAACUAAGAAAAUCCAUUGGAGCCCCUGGAAUGGCUGUCCUUCAGUUUGGGUUUGGAGGUGGCGCCGGUAACCCUCAUUUGCCUCAUAAUCACGAGUGCAAUCAAGUUGUCUAUACAGGGACUCAUGACAAUGACACGAUGUGUUUCUGCUACAGAUUAAGGGUUGGUGGGAAGCUUUAAACCAAGAAGAGAAAUCCCAUGUAUUAAGUUAUGUUUCAUUAACUGGAGAAGAAGAUAUUUCGUGGGCACUAAUACAGACAGCGCUGGCCUCUGUUGGUCAAACAGCAAUAAUACCUAUGCAAGAUGUUCUUGGACUAGGGAGUUCUGCCAGGAUGAAUAUUCCUGCUACUCAGUUUGGAAACUGGGGAUGGAGGGUUCCAAGUUCUGUGAGCUUUGACAGGUUAGAAAGAGAGGCAACUAGACUCAAAGAGAUGCUUUCAAUGUAUGGCCGGCUUUGAAAUAUGAAAUCCUUUGAGUGUAAAGUAGAGGAAUUUGCCUUGCAACACAAGCUUAAGUGGAAGAGGCUAAGCCUACAGUCUUUAUUCCCAAGUUGCUGGAGCGAAUACCAACUUGAUCAAAGCUGGGUGCCUUGUGUUCAAGAAAUCUAAGACACUUGACCUGAACCAUUUUGGUAACAUAAAGAAGCAAUUCUGCUAUGCCUAGAAUAUUUGAAUUCAGAAUGUAUUUGUAAUGAUUUGUAUGAUGAGUUCAGAGAGGAUUCUCAAAUAAUUGUAUGAAUUCAAGCACUGUUUUGUUUAUAUAAUUGAGAGCAAGGUUGUCAAACGAUA